UGAAGAUCCGGAAGGAAGGGAAAUUGCCCCUUGUCUACAUAGAAUCAGAAUCCUUGUAAAGGUCUGGCUUUGCUAGACUGAAUAAGCAUCCCGAGCAGCAAACUCUAAUGCUUUGUGAGAGAACAGACUGCUGGGCUCCCAGUGAGCACUGAAUGCCGAGUGAGAGUUUUAACAAGCAGCCCAGGGCAGAAGCCUCCAAAGGAAUGCCAUGGUCUCACAUCCUUUCCCAGGAGGCUUUGCACCUCCUCCAGGCAUUCAUGUUGCCUGGUGCAGGCUACACUGGCAGCCCCUUUUGGAUAAGGCCUGAGCAUGUAAGAAUCUGCUUACUGUCCCACUCGCAGCUCUACCCCUACUGUAUCCCAGAACCGUCUACCUGCCCCAGGGACUGACCACUAAGGAAUCAAAUCUAUCAUCAAAGGACAGAGAUUGCCCAUGCCACGGCGUGCACUAGAUUCACUCCAAGGAGCAGCCAACCAGGUCUCAGGUACAACUGGGUGAGCUUGGGAAGAGGUGGCCUCCUAGUCUCAUCAUAGUCCCUGGAGAGGAAAGAAAACAAACUCCUAAUUUCCCUUCCCAGAAGUGAGUACCAUUUCUCUAUGUACGCUUGAGAUGGACUCUGUAAGUCAACUGCCCACAGGAAAUCCCCACAGGCCAUGUCUGCACCCUCAGGCAAGAAAUGGGAGGUUCUUACUAUAUAGUCUGUAAUUACCAUGAGAGACACUAGUCUUUGAGAACACUUGAGUCAUGGCAUUUGCUCUCUGGCUGCAGUGUUCAGGGCACAGGGCUCUGAAAGAAGAAUAGAGUCAGUAUCAACCAGAAGACCUAAAAGGACCAACCGGAAGGCCUGCCUGUGGCUGCCAGUUGGGUGGUACUGUCCUGUUUGGUUCCAGAUGCAGAACUAUCUCAUUCUAGCUCUUGGCAGGCUCAUCUGCUGCCGGGAAGAAGCCCGGAUGUCGCUGGCUCCUUAGCCCAGACCUCCCAGUUCCAUUCAUGCCUGGUGAGGUGGCACACUCCUUCACCAGCCCUCUGCUGGGCCCAGGUCAUCUGUUCUCCCAGCUACUUGGCGUCCUAUUUAUAGCGUCUGUUCUUAGAUGCCUGCUGUGCACCAGGCGUUGGCUUAAGGAUUUCUGUGUGCCCUGGAUAAUAAUCAUGAAAACCUCAACAAGUUCAUCCCCAGCUCUAAAACUGAGCUAUGAAAACAGACAUGGACGGGCCCUCUGUUGUGUCGUUUACUGAAGCUUUUUAUUUACAGAAAUGUUGGAAACUGUUGCUAGGGAAGCAGAUAAAUAAUGCAGUCAUAUGGUGGGAUAUAUUAGAAAUCAUUUGAAGGAAUAUUUCAUGUACCAGGAAAUACUUAUGCUAGUGAGUAAAGAAUACACAAUAUAAGAUUGU
rnacentral:lncRNA from 1 species